rnacentral:lncRNA from 1 species
AAGUACUAAAAAUACAAUAAGUCUUAAAUUCAACAGUGAAUUUCCAAGUUUGCAUAAGUUUCAAUAGAAAGUUAAAACAAUGUGCUAAUAGUUGGAAAUAUGGAUAAAAAAGCCAUACACCAUAUAAGCUUACAACAAUUGAAGUAAUUUUUAAGGACAAACAUGUUACUAAUUAAAUAACAAAUAAGGUAAGGACUUAGGUUUAUAUGUAUACCUUAGAGUCUAGAGAGUUGGGGGCACUCUAGUACUUCACCUCCAUGGUCCACAACAACUACACAUGGGGUAAGGAAGAGUAAUAACUAAGCGAAAGAGAGGCGCCAACACCGGUUUUAUAGCUGCCCACAACUUCAGAUAGGGUUAGGUACUUAGGAGUUGGGCAACUUGCAAGAUGCAUGGAGGAAGAGGCCCAAGGGUGGGAAAAAGUUGUAUACACCAGGCAGAGCUUUGGGAAGUCGAUGUGAUCCUCGAUCGAUGGCACUUGGCCACUGGUCAGACUCUCUCUGAUCGUCAUCACUCAGGUCAGCAUAGGAGACUAAUGGAAGCGGGUGGGACAAAAACUAGCAAGUGUUUCUUUCCCCCCCUUUUACUAAGUGAUACAUGGGUCUAGUGGGAUUUCUUAGGGUAUGCUAGACCACACCUAGACAUACCACUAGAUCCGCCACUAACAUACGCACCCGUCUCUAAAAACAUGAUUUAUAGAGACAAUUACUUAGAAACCCUGCCUCUAACACUAUUACAUAGAUCUUAACCGUGGGGGCCAAAAAGCCUUAACCGUGGUUUUUGCAAUUGCCUCAGACAAAAGGUCACAGUUAAUCAGGCCUAUCCGAGGCGGUUUCUUGUCCACCUCAAUAAAUAAGUCAGAAAAAAUAAAAAAAGAAAAAUCCUGCCAAUGAGCUCACUGAGCCUAUCGACGGGCCUACCAAGCCCAAUGCCACUAUUGCCGCCGCCCCAUGCCCGGUGUGCCGCCACCAACGCUACCGUAGGCACUGAUACGUUGCUACCCCAUGCCUGGUGCGCUGCCUUCG